UCAUCAAUCCCAGGAGCCUGGAGCAGCACUGCUGGAACUGACCGAGCCUCUGAGCCACCCUCGGCUCCUGGCUCCUGCAGGCUGAGCAGACCCAGAACCUGCUAUGAAAUCUGCCCUUUCGUCCUCCAGCAGUUAGCCAGAACCAAAACCAGCAUUUACCACACUCCUCCUCUGCCCGCACUGGCCCAGCGAGAACCGCCUCGGGUUCUGUUUGCUCUCUGAGCCAGCAGAAACUGAAGAGGGGCUCUGAAAACAAAGCCACCUUUGUGGCAGCUGUCAGCAGAGUUUUAUUAUUGUUUCCAUCCUGAUGGCUGUCGAGAUAAAAGGAGGAGCUCUUUCACAUCACACAAUGGACGCAAUUUAAUAAGUGACCAACGCAGUGGUGGGCCAGGCACAUCCAGGCUUCCCACACGCUGUCCCGUGGCUCUGCCGGCUCCUCGGUGAUGCCCUCGUGCCGCAGACGAUUCCCAUUCGCGGCCAUUCGCGGCGGGGCCAACUUUGGAAUCAUUUUGGGCACUGUAACACUUUGUUCUGUAAAUGUUUGCCCGGCACACAUCAGCCUGCUCACUCCCAGCACACCGGGAGAGCAAUCUGCAUGGGAAUGAAAGGGAAAUGGAGACAGGCUCUGCUGUACAGAUGCUCACAGAAUUGCCAGAGCUUUGGAUCCAGACACUCGGAAGACAUCGCAUCGUUCCCCUGAUUUAUCUCGUGUUGUUCCAGCCAGAGAAAAUAAAACCUUAAAUAAUCCCA